rnacentral:misc_RNA from 1 species
UGAGAAGUGAAAAGCUCUCGGCUGGUCAAGGUCCCGGAGCUUGCGCACUGGGUGCUGGUUUCCCAGCACAUAUCCGAGGUGGGUGCGCUUUUUUUCCUUCCUCGCGACAUACGGAGCGAGAUACGGCCAUCUACGAGAGCCGGCACACAGAAAUAGCCAGCGACGAACGCGCGUGUUUAGUUGCGUCGUGAAGGCGAAAGAGAAGAAAACUUAUGUGCUAUCGAUCCCAAACGCUUGAGUCAACUUCCUUUCCACAAUCUGGAGCUUGCGAGUGAAGCUCGUCUCGGGUGAGGCACGCCCUGUCACGUCUACGGGACGCGUCGGUUUCUCGUCAUGUGAUUAAACGAUACUCGAACAAGCGUUUCUUGUAUCGAAAUCGGCGGAAGCAUAAUCCGAGCAUUCUAAGAGCAUGUGAUGCUGCUGGAAAUAAACGCGCGUCGUUCCAGAUGCGUUUAACAUCGAGUAUUAAGGAAACACCUGCAUGUUGUACGAUUGCUCUCGAAUUUUUCUUAUCGAGGUCUAUCCGCGGGAUGACGAACGUCUCAUCGAUUGAGACGUGAAUUCUCGCGGGGAUGCAAUUACCACGAAAAAUGAGCCACAACGUGAUGGCGAGCAUCGGUCGUACUCUGGGCAACCGCGACAACAAACCGUCGGCACCUAACGAAGUCCGUUUCGCUGGUGAAGAACGAAAGGAUAAGCUCUAUGAACCAAAGCACAAACAGAAGUUGAUACGAGUAUUGACGGUGGUUGCGAUCAAGCGAUUAGGAAGGUGAGAGUCGACAAGCCGGAGUGCGUGAAGCCUCCUUCCUUCGACUCCUCCACAAUGCCACCGAUUCCCAACGAGACACAAAUCGAAAGGA